CCUACGGGUGGCUGCAGUGGGGAAUAUUGGACAAUGGGGGCAACCCUGAUCCAGCCAUGCCGCGUGUGUGAAGAAGGCCCUCGGGUUGUAAAGCACUUUCAGUGAGGAAGAACGCCUGGUGGUUAAUACCCAGCAGGAAAGACAUCACUCACAGAAGAAGCACCGGCUAACUCCGUGCCAGCAGCCGCGGUAAUACGGAGGGUGCGAGCGUUAAUCGGAAUUACUGGGCGUAAAGCGCGCGUAGGUGGCUUGAUAAGCCGGUUGUGAAAGCCCCGGGCUCAACCUGGGAACGGCAUCCGGAACUGUCAAGCUAGAGUGCAGGAGAGGAAGGUAGAAUUCCCGGUGUAGCGGUGAAAUGCGUAGAGAUCGGGAGGAAUACCAGUGGCGAAGGCGGCCUUCUGGACUGACACUGACACUGAGGUGCGAAAGCGUGGGUAGCAAACAGGAUUAGAUACCCUAGUAGUC
rnacentral:rRNA from 1 species